AGGCUGCUGAUUGGCUGAGACACGUCCCACCUCCUGCCAUCCUGAGGGUAGGGGGCAGAGGGAAGGGUCUCCUUGUGGGCAGGGAGACUUACCAGUGUGCCUUGCCAGCCCGGGACUGCCCCCUCCUGGCCUGGUCAGAGCCCCGGCCUGAGAAGCUCUGUCUCCCCCGGGAGGGGAGGGGGGGCAUCGGCCUCGCCUUUUCUCUGCCUCCAGCACCCAGGGCGGCUGCAGAUGGCAGUGUCUCUGGGGAGAGCAGCAACGACUGAGUCUACAGGUCGACACUGAGCUGCUCGGACCGAGGCUGCAUGCUCAGCACAGAGUCCCCGGAACAGGCUUGAGCUGAGGCCGCCGCGAUGCCGCACUUCCUGGACUGGUUCGUGCCGGUGUACCUGGUCAUCUCCGUGCUCAUCCUGGUGGGCUUCGGCGCCUGCAUCUACUACUUCGAGCCUGGCCUGCAGGAGGCGCACAAGUGGCGCAUGCAGCGCCCCCUGGUGGACCGUGACCUCCGCAAGACCCUGAUGGUCCGCGACAACUUGGCCUUCGGAGGCCCAGAGGUCUGAGCUGAGCUGCGCUGGGAAACCAGGCGCCCUCCCCCGCCUCGCCCAGCCUGGAGACCCUGCGGCAGAGAGAGGACAACGUCUGGUCCUCCAGGCCACCCCUGCGCAGCCUAGGUUCUCCCAGCAGAGGCUUCUGGGUGCCCCCGGUGGACUCUGGCUGCACCUGGUGAGGUGGGGCCCCCCAGGUAUCUUGAGGUGUCACUGCUGCCGGCACAGGGCUUGCUUUCCACGUCAAGCCAGUUCACUCCACCUCUGCCCUCCCCAGCUCUGGAUUUAUCCCCCCACUGGCCUCCAGUGCCUUUGUGCUGCCCGAGCACUCUUGCCCCUCACCUGGAGUCAGGCACCGCUGCCCCUGCCUGUCCUAAGUGUCUAGAUUCGCACUUCCCCACUGAAGCCCUGGUGAAACUCAUGGCCCGUUCCACCCGAGGCCCCCUCCCUGCAGCCUCACAGACCGGCUGCAAAGCGGACCCAAGGAAGGGGCCCUGUUUGGAGGGACGUCUGCUCAGUCCAGCCCAGCCCGACCCCUCUGGACUCAGACUUGGCAUUGAUGGUGUGUGUGAUGGGGUGUGCAGAAGGGUGAGACCAUAGAGGAUGGAGGGGUGUGUGUGUGUGUGUGUGUGCACGCGUAUGAGAGAGAGAGAGAGAGUCUGGGGGGAGUGGGUGGGUAGGGAGGCACACAGGUAUGUAUGUGUAAGAGGGAGAGAGUGGGGGCCCCAGGCAGGGUGGGGGGUGGGGGGAACCGGAUGAGCCUGUGAUCACGCAUGGGCUGCCCACAGCGGUGCUCCCGCCCCGGCCCCUCCUGUCCCCACCCCCCCCGCCCCGGGCCAGAGUGCUCUACUCUCCCCUUCCCCAAGGCCCCUGCCCUCCUCACCCUCCCUGCCCUGAACUGCAGCCCCCAGCACCAGCCCCCUGCCGCCCUAACCCCCCCAGGGAGCCCUCCUCCUGUGGGGAACGCUGCUGCCUCAUCUUGGACAUCCAUUGGCAGCCUGUCUCGCUAUCUUCUGCGGCUUCCUUCCCUCCUAGUUUCUUGCAAUAAUAAAGACUUCAUGACUAAUUUUGCAGGACCGUCUCCCUUCCUGAAGCACCUUCCAUGGGGAGGUUUUCCGGAGCCGGUCUGAUGGCUAGUUCCAGACGUGUUCAGGGAUCUGUGCUUCUCUGUGGCUGCAUCCUUGUGACUGGAUGACGCCAUGGCUGGCAGAGUCCAGAGGCUUCAUCUGCACCCCUCGCAGCAAGGCGGAGGCAAGGGUGACCCCUUCCUUCCUUGGAGGACACUCCGUGGUGGCUGCUCCCCCCCAUCCCCUUCUAUC